ensembl:lncRNA
CUUCAUUAGGCCUGGAAAAGCUGUAAGGCUGUGCUAAUUACAAAUUAUCAGAUGCUGUGCUAGCUCCUCCUCCAGUGGUCCUUUUCCUUUUUCUAGCUCCAGUCCCCUCUGUCUCCCUAAGUCAGUGGGGCUAUCUUUUUGUUUCUAUCAAAGAAUAAGAAAAGAAGGCUCUUUCCUAAAGGCUAGAAAACAAGUUUACAGAUUUAUGAGUCGUCCCCCAGCUAUCAGUGUGCACUCCACUGGUGAAGAAGCUCUGGGGCUGUCUAGUAUUCCUGUGCCGAGAAGCAGUGGAAAGACUGUGAAAACACUGGCUAGGUCUGCCAGCCCUUGGGUGCGUCUUGAACCUGUACCAUGUUGGGUCAAAGACUGUACUGGGCUGGCCUGCUCAGCCGAUCAUGGUCCUAGAAGACAUCUGCUAAAAGCCAAUCUUCAAGCAGAGGAAGAUAGCCUGAGAUCUGUGUUAAGAGGGGAACUUUUCUCGGGGGGUGAAGACUAUGAUGAUUUGGGGACAGCCAGCUCCCAGGCAGCUGUUGUCAGCAGUGAUGCUCCCAGAAGCUUGGCAGAAGAGUUUUCACUAGUUCCGUUAAAUAUGCAAAGGAAAUUCUCUGCUUUGAAUUUUGACCUGCUAGUAGAAAGAUGUUUUAAAAGGCUCUGAGCUUCAGCACAUCUGUUUGGAAUAUAAGAUACAAAUUUUUUGGAGAUAUGAAUGCCAAUCUUCAUGUACACAGUUUAUAGAAAUACAGGCUGAAGUCUGCAUUAAACCCAUGAAGGUUCAGAUGGGGUGAAGCCCAACACGUUUCUCUUAGAUUGGCAGGCAGCAAGGAAAGACAAAACUGGAGUGAAAAUAAAUCCUUCGUAUGAGUUGUCUUCUGUGGGAGUUUAGAAUCCUGUAAUAAUCAUAAGGUGUUAAAAAUGGAAAUAUGACUGAGUCUAAGCUAAUAUAAUGACUAUUUCUUUUGCAACUGUAAUGGAUAUACCAAGAAAUAUCAUUGUAUUUUGUCUCUUUCUCAGCAGUAGAGUCUCUUUUUUAAUAACUUCUUAAAGGAUAUUUGAAAUUCAAAGCCCUCGUAUAUGCCACUAUUUCCUUUCAGUAAGUGCUUUAAUUUACUCUAUAGAAGCCUAGAGGGUUUACUGUUUGUUUUGUAUUUUUCUUGAUCUAAAAAUUAUAAUUCACUGCAUAUAUUUGGUUGUUCAUAUAUACAUAAACAGUUGUGUAAGGCAAUGUGAGAUAGCUAGAAUACAUCCUAUGAUAAACAAGGGGGGAAAAGCCCAACCAUUGUUGGGGUUAAUUGAUCAUGUGAAAUAAACAUUUUUUUUUAAUUUAUUUUGAUCUAAUAUUGAAUUUGAUAUUGAAUUCUUCUCUUCUGUUUGUGGAAGUGUAUGUAGUUGAAAGCAACUCAAGAUCUAGGUUUCUCUAUUUCUUAUUUAGUCAGUAGGUGGACUUUACAAAUAAGGCUAGGCAAGGCUGUAAAAACAGUGUGUCAUUACUGAAAACCUGACUGGUAAGCCUUCAUGUUAAUUUGAAAAUGCAUCCCAUUGGCAAAGUUCUGUUACGUCUCAAGGAUAGUACACUUUACAAGGAAUAGACUUGAUAUAGUAGAAAAAUUCUAAAUAAUAAAUAUAAAUUUUUUGGUGCUGCUUUUUUUCUUCUUUCUACCUCGUGAAGAACUGUCACUUUUUUUGGGGUGGGGGUAGGUUGUAGUUUUUGUUAUACGGAUCCACUUAAUGAAGUUAUGUACUUACUCUGUAGUGCUUCUUGCAUGGUUAAACUUCUCUAACAAAGUGUGCUUCUUCUGCUUUGUAUAAUAAGGGCAGAAAUACAGUGGUGGUGGCUGUCUGUCCUGUUGACCACACGGGAGCAGGCAGGCUGCCUUACUCUUCCAGGUGCUGUGCUGUUGUAGAGAAUCAGCCUGCAUUACUAAGGCAUUGCAGACACUUGUCUUAAUCCAAUGUAAUAAAUAAACCAAAAGGCC